rnacentral:rRNA from 1 species
UACGAAGGGGGCUAGCGUUGCUCGGAAUUACUGGGCGUAAAGCGCACGUAGGCGGCUUUCUAAGUCGGGGGUGAAAUCCUGGAGCUCAACUCCAGAACUGCCUUCGAUACUGGAGAGCUUGAGUUCGGAAGAGGGUCGUGGAAUUCCCAGUGUAGAGGUGAAAUUCGUAGAUAUUGGGAAGAACACCGGUGGCGAAGGCGGCGACCUGGUCCGAUACUGACGCUGAGGCGCGAAAGCGUGGGGAGGCAAACAGG